rnacentral:rRNA from 1 species
CGGGGAGCACACAACAGGUGGAGCCUGCGGUUUAAUCGGACUCAACGCCGGGAAACUCACCAGAUAAGACAGCUGAAUGAUAGUCGGGCUGAAGACUCUACUUGACUAGCUGAGAGGAGGUGCAUGGCCGUCGUCAGUUCGUACUGUGAAGCAUCCUGUUAAGUCAGGCAACGAGCGAGACCCACGCCAACAGUUGCCAGCUCGUCCUCCGGGAUGGUGGGGACACUGUUGGGACCGCCUCUGCUAAAGAGGAGGAAGGAAUGGGCAACGGUAGGUCAGCAUGCCCCGAAUUAUCUGGGCUACACGCGGGCUACAAUGGGUGGGACAAUGGGUAUCGACACCGAAAGGUGAAGGCAAUCUCCUAAACCCAUCCGUAGUUCGGAUUGUGGGCUGCAACUCGCCCACAUGAAGCUGGAAUCUGUAGUAAUCGUGUCUCAAAAUGGCACGGUGAAUAUGUCCCUGCUCCUU